AUAAAACGCAGGUCAGGACAACAAUUUGCUCAUCAUCAGCAAUAGGAGUACAAACUCACGUUAUAGAACGACGUCGUGCUUUGGUCCUGCAUUUCAUCCCAGAAGGUCUGGGACGGGGGAAGAGGUCUGUAACGUCCUUUUCCCGAGUAUUCUCGCCUCUGACGUGCCUGGUAGUGGACGGAAAAUGUUAAGUCGUCGUCUACAAGGUCGCUGGUUUCUGGGUCCCAUGAAACUGCUUUUACGACGAGAUUUUCUGUCUCUAAGAUUUUAAUUUCAAGACGAGAAAAGUCAACAGUCUUCUUUAGUAAUGUGAUGAGAAGAGCGAUUGGAGCGAAGCUUUGUAGAAAAAUUCAAAAUGUGCAUUUGCUGGGAACCGGAAUCAUUUACUGGAGUUGGAAUCUUUUGAAUUACUGAACUGAUAUGCUGAUCAUUACACCACAAAAGCAUAAGACAGAAAUACCUUGGAUGUUUCGCCGAAUCUUACAUGACGGACGUUUUGAUGUGACCUGUGAUUUGCUUAUUAUCCUCAACAAAAAAUCGAAUGCUUCGCACAACUAGCAUGCUUUAACAAGAUCCAAAACUUUUGAUGUUCAUCUAUUGAUUGAGUCUCAGUUAUAAUUCAGUUAAAAAUUUAUUAUCCAUUUAAUGAUAAAUCAGAGAAUUAAAUAAGAGUGGGAAAAACACAAUAAGUUUUGGAGUUUUCCAAAAGGUCCGCAGCCAGAUGCGCAAAUGAAGGAACUGCCCGGAGUGUGGUUUUAGAUAUAAGAUACCAUGCAUUAUUCGACUGGAAUACAUCUUUGAGGAUAAAAAAGAAAAAAUAAAAAAAAAAGGAGGCUGCAGAAUAUCUUACAUAAGUUUUGGUUAAAUAUAGCGUAUAGCUUUUGGGUGUAACAGAAGAGAGAGAUGAAGGUUCUAGCAUUGAAUUACACGGCAUAUUAUAUCCAAUGCUGUGCAGUGCCUGUAUAUACGAUUUCAAUUACGUUUAUUAUUCUCGUGCAGGCAGAAUAAAAAUUACAUACAAAGUCAAACUACUUUGAUAGCAUGAAGCCACAGUACAACAGCUUGGUGAAAUGAUUUUUUGAUGGUCUUGGCAAUGGUAGCUAACGAGUUCCUAGUUCUACUUUCCUAUCCUAUAAUUAACAAUAUAAGCAGAAAGUAGCUCUACCACAGAUAACUAUUACUGCCCACAGUCAAUUGUGGCUUGGGAGUUCGGUAUAAUGCAUCGACAGAUGAGGACAUAUCUAUGCACUUUGAUGCUCUUGUCGUCAACAGGAUGAUAUCUGAAACAAUGAGGUAACAAUGCUACGCUGCUAAUGCAUCCAGAUUCAUGUGAAUCAAGAUAUGCAGGGAUGAACUAAUCAGAUAUGUGAAAGGACUAUGAACAUAUCUGUUCCCAAGCAGACCAUAUGAUUAGGCUCUUCGUAAUAUCUGGUUCAAUUCAUCUUGAAUUCCUACCAGACUAACUAUCGAAAGCUUUCAGCUGCAUUAAUUCCUGCGUUGCACAGGACACUAUCAGAAUGGACACCGCCGCAGAUCCUCGACAUUUAAGUGACUAUACUCCAUGCAUUAUUACUUCUAUAUUUGUAAAAUUCAUAUAUUAUACUUGCCUUCAGAAAGCUAUUAACAGAUGUACUUCUCACAUAAUAUUGCAUCUCUUUUAGAUCAUCAAGUUAAAUUGAAUAACUCUAGUAUCUGAAAAGUAUGCAAGUUAGAUAACUGCGAGAAAUUUUACAUAUUUUGAAACUUUCAUCGACCUUCUGAAAAGGGAUAGGUCUGUUUGCUAAGAAUUCAAGAGUCGAACAAUACCCAGCUAAGUCCAAAAUUUCGAGAAAAAGGGCAUUAAAUGUUGUAUGUGAAGUCAUGCUCUUAAAAGCUUUCAGCAAACGUCAAGUUCUUGAGAGAAACAAAUUUUUAAAAGUAAGAGUGUGCAAAUUCAAAAUAGUUCAAUAAAUAUUCCUUUAAUAACAAAAAUACAAAUAAAUUUAGGAGAAGUUUUAGGUAUUUGGUUUUUGAAUU